AGCUCCAAUAGCGUAUAUUAAAGUUGUUGCAGUUAAAAAGCUCGUAGUUGGAUAUCGGGCGUGUGGACAUGGUCCGCGGAAACGUGAGCACUGUGGUUCUGCGCGCCUUCCUUCCGUAGGCCGCGUGUGCCCUUAACUGGGUGUGCGUGGAAUGCGGAUCGUUUACUUUGAAUAAAUUAGAGUGUUCAAAGCAGGCUUUCGCUUGAAUACAUUAGCAUGGAAUAAUGGAAUAGGACUUUGGUUCUAUUUUGUUGGUUUCUAGGACCGAAGUAAUGAUUAAUAGGGAUAGUUGGGGGCAUUAAUAUUUAAUUGUCAGAGGUGAAAUUCUUGGAUUUAUGAAAGAUUAACUUCUGCGAAAGCAUUUGCCAAGGAUGUUUUCAUUAAUCAAGAACGAAAGUAG
rnacentral:rRNA from 1 species